GGCAGUUUGGCCGAGUGGUUAAGGCGUCAGACUUGAAUUUGACUUGUUCAGGCAUCUGAUCCCAUUUGGGUCACAGGUUCGAAUCCUGUAGCUGUCG
rfam:Tulasnella calospora MTT 4182 unplaced genomic scaffold scaffold_103, whole genome shotgun sequence.